rnacentral:rRNA from 1 species
GACGAACGCUGGCGGCGUGCUUAACACAUGCAAGUCGAACGGAAAGGCCCUGCUUUUGUGGGGUGCUCGAGUGGCGAACGGGUGAGUAACACGUGAGUAACCUGCCCUUGACUUUGGGAUAACUUCAGGAAACUGGGGCUAAUACCGGAUAGGAGCUCCUGCUGCAUGGUGGGGGUUGGAAAGUUUCGGCGGUUGGGGAUGGACUCGCGGCUUAUCAGCUUGUUUGUGGGGUAGUGGCUUACCAAGGCUUUGACGGGUAGCCGGCCUGAGAGGGUGACCGGCCACAUUGGGACUGAGAUACGGCGCAGAAUCCUACGGGAGGCAGCAGUGGGGAAUAUUGCACAAUGGGCGGAAGCGUGAUGCAGCAACGCCGCGUGCGGGAUGACGGCCUUCGGGUUGUAAACAGCUUUCGCAUGUGACGAAGAGUGAGUGACGGUAAUGGGUAAAGAAGCACCGGCUAACUACGUG